AUGAACGCUGGCGGCGUGCCUCAUACAUGCAAGUCGAGCGAACGGACGGGAAGCUUGCUUUUCUGAUGUUAGCGGCGGACGGGUGAGUAACACGUGGAUAACCUACCUAUAAGACUGGGAUAACUUCGGGAAACCGGAGCUAAUACCGGAUAAUAUUUUGAACCGCAUGGUUCAAAAGUGAAAGACGGUCUUGCUGUCACUUAUAGAUGGAUCCGCGCUGCAUUAGCUAGUUGGUAAGGUAACGGCUUACCAAGGCAACGAUGCAUAGCCGACCUGAGAGGGUGAUCGGCCACACUGGAACUGAGACACGGUCCAGACUCCUACGGGAGGCAGCAGUAGGGAAUCUUCCGCAAUGGGCGAAAGCCUGACGGAGCAACGCCGCGUGAGUGAUGAAGGUCUUCGGAUCGUAAAACUCUGUUAUUAGGGAAGAACAUAUGUGUAAGUAACUGUGCACAUCUUGACGGUACCUAAUCAGAAAGCCACGGCUAACUACGUG
rnacentral:rRNA from 1 species